rnacentral:rRNA from 1 species
GAUGAACGCUAGCGGGAGGCCUAACACAUGCAAGCCGAGCGGUAUUUGUUCUUCGGAACAGAGAGAGCGGCGCACGGGUGCGGAAACACGUGUGCAACCUGCCUUUAUCUGGGGGAUAGCCUCUCGAAAGGAAGAUUAAUACCCCAUAAUAUAUUGAGUGGCAUCACUUGAUAUUGAAAACUCCGGUGGAUAGAGAUGGGCACGCGCAAGAUUAGAUAGUUGGUGAGGUAACGGCUCACCAAGUCAAUGAUCUUUAGGGGGCCUGAGAGGGUGAUCCCCCACACUGGUACUGAGACACGGACCAGACUCCUACGGGAGGCAGCAGUGAGGAAUAUUGGACAAUGGGUUAGCGCCUGAUCCAGCCAUCCCGCGUGAAGGACGACGGCCCUAUGGGUUGUAAACUUCUUUUGUAUAGGGAUAAACCUACUCUCGUGAGAGUAGCUGAAGGUACUAUACGAAUAAAGCACCGGCUAACUCCGUGCCAGCCGCCGC